rnacentral:rRNA from 1 species
GAGUUUGAUCAUGGCUCAGAUUGAACGCUGGCGGCGUGCCUAACACAUGCAAGUCGCACGAGAAAGGGGCUUUCGGGUCCUGAGUAAAGUGGCGAACGGGUGAGUAACGCGUAGGUAACCUGACCUCGAGUGUGGAAUAACCUGGCGAAAGCCGGGCUAAUACCGCAUGACGUCUUUGGGUCUUCGGACUCGGUGACCAAAGAUGGCGAGCUUCGAGCGCUGUCGCUCGAGAAGGGGCCUGCGUCCCAUUAGCUAGUUGGUGGGGUGAUGGCCUACCAAGGCGACGAUGGGUAGCCGGGCUGAGAGGCUGUCCGGCCACACUGGAACUGAGACACGGUCCAGACUCCUACGGGAGGCAGCAGUGGGGAAUCUUGCGCAAUGGGGGAAACCCUGACGCAGCGACGCCGCGUGGGCGAUGAAGGCCUUC